UAGGGAAUCUUCCGCAAUGGGCGAAAGCCUGACGGAGCAACGCCGCGUGAGUGAUGAAGGUCUUCGGAUCGUAAAACUCUGUUAUUAGGGAAGAACAAAUGUGUAAGUAACUAUGCACGUCUUGACGGUACCUAAUCAGAAAGCCACGGCUAACUACGUGCCAGCAGCCGCGGUAAUACGUAGGUGGCAAGCGUUAUCCGGAAUUAUUGGGCGUAAAGCGCGCGUAGGCGGUUUUUUAAGUCUGAUGUGAAAGCCCACGGCUCAACCGUGGAGGGUCAUUGGAAACUGGAAAACUUUAGUGCAGAAGAGGAAAGUGGAAUUCCAUGUGUAGCGGUGAAAUGCGCAGAGAUAUGGAGGAACGCCAGUGGCGAAGGCGACUUUCUGGUCUGUAACUGACGCUGAUGUGCGAAAGCGGGGGGAUCAAACAGG
rnacentral:rRNA from 1 species